UACGUAGGGUGCAAGCGUUACUCGGAAUUACUGGGCGUAAAGCGUGCGCAGGCGGUUUUGUAAGUCUGAUGUGAAAUCCCCGGGCUCAACCUGGGAAUUGCAUUGGAGACUGCAAGGCUAGAAUCUGGCAGAGGGGGGUAGAAUUCCACGUGUAGCAGUGAAAUGCGUAGAGAUGUGGAGGAACACCGAUGGCGAAGGCAGCCCCCUGGGACAAGAUUGACGCUCAUACGCGAAAGCGUGGGGAGCAAACAGG
rnacentral:rRNA from 1 species